AAUAAGGUGCCUGAAAAAGGGCUAUCUUGAUAGGAUAGAUAAUGCAUAAACAUGCCCUUAUUA
rnacentral:tRNA from 1 species